CACGUAGGGCGCAAGCGUUGUCCGGAAUUAUUGGGCGUAAAGAGCUCGUAGGCGGUCUGUUGCGUCUGCUGUGAAAACCCGGGGCUUAACCCUUGGCUUGCAGUGGAUACGGACAGACUAGAGGUAGGUAGGGGAGAAUGGAAUUCCCGGUGUAGCGGUGAAAUGCGCAGAUAUCGGGAGGAACACCGGUGGCGAAGGCGGUUCUCUGGGCCUUACCUGACGCUGAGGAGCGAAAGCGUGGGGAGCGAACAGG
rnacentral:rRNA from 1 species